UUACGCGGGCCACCACAGAGCAACAACGCAGAAUUCCCCGGAGAAUACACGAGCUAUUCAGAAAUCUUGCCGGUGGGAUUCCUAAACCGGAUAGAGAAAAGAGGGAAAGUGGCGGGAUGGGUCCCGCAAUUGAAAGUUUUGUCCCACAAAGCAAUUGGGGGAUUUGUGUCACACUGCGGAUGGAAUUCAAUACUCGAAAGUAUAUGGUGUGGGGUGCCUAUAGCGACCUGGCCAUUGCACCUCGGAGCAGCACGCAAAUGUGUUUCAGUUGGUGAAAAAAUGGAGACACGCAGUUGAGAUCACUUUGGAUUACUGUGAAAGGAAUAAAGAUCAACCGAUGGUAACUUCAGAAGCCAUAGAAAAAGGUGUAAAGAAAUUGAUGGAAACUAACUCUGAAGUAAGAGAUAAAGCAAAGGAGAUGAAGGAGAAGAGCAGGGCUAGCGUAAUGGAAGGUGGAUCUUCGUACUUGUCUCUUGGGAAACUCAUUGAUGAACUACUGAAGAACGCAGCUUUGUUACUUUGUUCAUAAUUUUACCAUAAAUGAGGUAGAGUUUCUAUAAGUGUACUAAAUUAUCUCCUACCCAAUUUACAGAUCCUUGUUAAUCAUAUCUUGUUAUACUUUCUAUUUUUUAAAAGGUGAUGGUGGUUGUGGUGGUAGGGAAUAUUUCAGAGAUUUGAAUUUAAUAAUUGGAAAUUGUCUUUUAA